UUUUAGGUUUCCGUGUCUGAUAUUUGACCGUCCGUCUUAUAUAAAAUUUUUUAUAUGAUUAGUAUUUUCAUUAUUGUUAAAUGAUAAAACAUAAAUAAUACUUUAUGUAUGGCUUAUUUUUUAAAUUUUUUUAUAAUUUUUUAAAAUAAGACGAACGAUCAAACGUUAGAUACGGAAACCCAGGAAUUAAG
rfam:Oryza glumipatula chromosome 1, whole genome shotgun sequence.